GCAAACUUGGUCAUUUAGAGGAAGUAAAAGUCGUAACAAGGUUUCCGUAGGUGAACCUGCGGAAGGAUCAUUACUGAAUAAAAGUUUGGUUCGAGGUUGUCGCUGGCAUCCUAGGGUGCAUUUGCACGCCCCUUGCCAUUCUGUCAUUCACCUUUUUCCUCCUGUGCAUUCUCAUGUAGGCCAGAUAGCCGUCAGUAGCGUUCUCCGGGGAUGCUUCUUUGGACUUGCUGUUGCAGCUCCACAUUGCGACAGCUCCUCCUGAAGGUGGCAAGUCUGGUCUAUGCAUUUUAUCAAACCCCUCUCUUAUUUUUAUGUGUCUGGUAUUGCAUGGGCUUAUCAAAGCAUGUAUGCACAACUUUCAACAACGGAUCUCUUGGCUCUCGCAUCGAUGAAGAACGCAGC
rnacentral:misc_RNA from 1 species